rnacentral:misc_RNA from 1 species
AUUUCAUUGAGGGUUUGCCUAAGUCGAAGGGCAAGGAUACUAUUCUGGUAGUUGUUUGCAGAUUCACCAAAUUUGGCAAUUUUAUUCCACUGGCACAUCCAUUUUCUGCUGCUUCUGUUGCUCAACUCUUCCUUGAGCAUAUUUUUAUGCAGCAUGGUGCUCCCCAAGUUAUUGUUUUUGACAGGGAUAAGGUGUUUACUAG